GAUGAACGCUGGCGGCAUGCUUUACACAUGCAAGUCGAACGGUAACAGGGAGCUUGCUCCGCUGACGAGUGGCGAACGGGUGAGUAAUGCGUCGGAACGUGCCGAGUAGUGGGGGAUAACGCAGCGAAAGUUGUGCUAAUACCGCAUACGUACUGAGGUGGAAAGUGGGGGACCUUCGGGCCUCACGCUAUUCGAGCGGCCGACGUCUGAUUAGCUAGUAGGUGAGGUAAAGGCUCACCUAGGCGACGAUCAGUAGCGGGUCUGAGGGGAUGAUCCGCCACACUGGGACUGAGACACGGCCCAGACUCCUACGGGAGGCAGCAGUGGGGAAUUUUGGACAAUGGGCGAAAGCCUGAUCCAGCCAUGCCGCGUGUCUGAAGAAGGCCUUCGGGUUGUAAAGGACUUUUGUCGGGGAGGAAAUCCCCAGCGUUAAUACCGCUGGGGGAUGACAGUACCUGAAGAAUAAGCACCGGCUAACUACGUGCCAGCAGCCGCCGUAA
rnacentral:rRNA from 1 species